UGACACAAUUUUUCAUAUGCUUCACUUAAUCCAUUCCAUCAUAACAAAUAUCUUGAAGUAACAUUUAGGCACCCCCAAGUAAUUACUCCGGCUACUAAAGCACUAAACGUUUGCACGGUUGCAAAACUUGGCCAAUUCCGAAGUUGAGCUUUACAAUCAUUUUGCAUCAAUUAAUCAAACUUAAGCAAGAAAUUAGUAGUUGCUAAAAUUGGGUUUACCAUGCUAUAGCGAGAAGAAUGUUGAGAAAAUGACUAUCCACUCCUACAGCAUACGAUACACAUAAUACAUGAAAAUUAACACACAAUUAUCCAAAAGUAGCUAAUACUGUUCUUUUACCUUAGAAGGGUGAUUGCAGUGUUCAAUUUUCUCUCUGUUAGGCCGUUGUAUAGAGCUACCACAGUUUCUCACCAAGAUGGCAAUAAAUGCCAUAACAAAAACAGUAGAAAUAGAAAGCAGGAAUGGAAAAUUCUGCUGGGUCCUACAAGACCUCCUUAAUGCUGGUGUAUCAAUGCCAAUUGAUGCAAAUCUUUCCCGAGGUUGCUUUUUUCUAUGAAUAGGAAUGUAGUUAGAAGAGGAUAGAUAUAUAACAUAGGGAAUCACUAAUAUGCAUUAUGUUUGGAGAAGAGAAGGAGAAAGAACCUAGAAAUUCAAGAACUGAUUUACAAUAUAUAAAACCAUAAAUGUUCAAAGAAGUGUCAACUGUUAAUAUUGAAUAGGUUUGGGUCAUGAUUAGGAGAACUUAAAUAUGUCAUAGGCUGACAAAUGAGACGAGUAAAUGUGAGAUGAAGCCGACUAGUCACCAAU
rnacentral:lncRNA from 1 species